rnacentral:rRNA from 1 species
GACGAACGCUGGCGGCGUGCUUAACACAUGCAAGUCGAACGGUAAGGCUCUACUUUGCUGGGGUGCUCGAGUGGCGAACGGGUGAGUAACACGUGAGUAACCUGCCCUCUACUUUGGGAUAACUUCAGGAAACUGGGGCUAAUACUGGAUAGGCGCCCCUGGUGCCUGGUUGGGUUUGGAAAGGUUCGGCGGUUGGGGAUGGACUCGCGGCCCUUCAGCCUGUUGGGGGGGUAGUGGUCUACCCAGGGCUUGACCGGUAGGCCGCCUGAGAAGGUGACCGGCCACAUAGGGACUGGAAUACGGCCCAGACCCCUACGGGAGACAGCAGUGGGGAAUAUUGAACAAUGGGCGGGAGCCUGAUGCAGCAACGCCGCGGGCGGGAUGUCGGAAUUCUGUUUGUAUGCCGCUUGCGCCUGUGAUGAAGCGUGGGUGAGGGUAAUGGGAAAAGAAGCACCGGCUAACUACGUG